AAUAAACAAAGGCACAGAUCUUCAUUAUAUUCUGUACACGUCAUAUAUUCCUUCUUCUUCUUUCUUUAAUAAUUUUUUUAUUUUUUUAUUUCACAGAACAAACCUUAAAGAAAAUCACAGAACAACAGAUUUAUUUCACCAAAAAAAAUGAAGAAAAUAGACCAUCAACAAAAUCCGUGGUUCAAUGGAGUACAACUGACUCUAGAUCCGAAAGUUACUAGAUCAAUUCACGUUGAGUUCAAAUAUUCUGAUCACAUUCUAGACUUCUUUGAUCAGUUACAGGUAUGUCCAUUUUCAAUAAAAGAAAGAGUAAAACUUAAACUCAAUACCAAAAUCAUGCAAAUCAGAGCAAUAUAACCUAUCUCUGAUACAAAUGAAAGUAUUUUUGGAGAAAAAAAUAAAUUAUUGUGUACCUUAAAUCGCAGCAGAGAUAGAAAUUUUUGUUUCUGAAAGGAUCUUGCUCCUAGUCAAUUUCAUUUCUCUAGGAAACAGAAUGUUGAUUCACAAACUAAAAAGCCUUUUCUAGUGUUUUGAUGUUUCUAUAUUUUUGUCACUUUACCGUGUGUUUGAGAACGAAGAGAUGAGAUAAAAUAUAUGGAAUGUGGAACAGUAACUUUUCCCCCCAAGUUUUCAAAAAAUAUUACGUGUUUUUUCUUUUCCCUUUUAUUUAUCUGAUUAUCCAGAAACAAAAGUUCUGGGUCGGGUCGUGUCGGGUAUACAUGUGUGACCCAUACCCAUAAUCCAACACUACAUACAUAAAUGAAGCAAUAUUGAAACAUAUAUACCGAUGGCUUCUGAUUGCUUCCUCUUUUUGAAGGUGGGGGGAUGCACCACGAACCUUUUUAGUCGAGUUUUAUAAAGUAGUUAUACUAAAAUCAGCAUGAUUUACCAUUAAAUUAUUUGCGUUAUCAAUGUAGUACAUCAAACAACAAUAAUAACAAUACCCAAUUUAAGUGUUUCCAUACCUCAACCGUACCUUGCGAGGAAAGAGGUUGUUUUUUAUAUCAACGUAUAUAGUUAAAUUUUCUAUAACAUCAAAGCAUACAAGUAAAAUUCUUUUCAAUAUAGAUUAAAGAGUAAUAAAUACAAUAUAUACAUAAAAUUUCUGGGUGUUACAUCUUUCCAGACCUUGGAGGCCUCCCACCAACUUUCAUAGUUGGAUUUUUUUGUAGGAGAAACACUAGAACCCGCCUGAUUUACUACAUCGGUAGAAGAAAUACCCAAAUUAGAAGGGUUCUGAAAAAAAAAUAUCAAAAUCUACCUUAUUCAGCGCUAGAGUAGAAUAAAAUCCUAACCAAGAGGAUUUUCUUGAAGGAAUAGCAAUAGAAUUAGACCGAUUUACUUUUAAAAUAGGAGAAAGACAUAACCUAGAUGGGGUUUCUGAAGGUAAUACAUCAAAAACUAUAUGAUUCACUAGUCUAUUCGUUAUAUUAUCAAUGUACAACAACAAACAACAACAACAAAGCACUUGUGUACGAUCUUACCCCUACCUUAGUUGGGUGGUAGAGACGUUGUUUUCAAUAUCAAUGUAUAUAAGUUAAAAUUCUUUACAUUAUUAUUGUAUCCAAGCUAAAUUUCUUACUUUACCAAUGUAUAAGUGAGUUCCUUCAAAAAUUAUAACUAGAUACAUAAUUGAAGUAAUAAUUCACAUAAAUAUACCUAAAACUUAAUGCUUUUGUUUCUUUUUAGAGCCUAUAGGCCUCCCACAAGCCUUCUUUGUAGUGCUUUUAAAGUAGCAACAGAAGUAGAAAUUACAUGAUUCACUAUAAAAGGAAUUUGACUAAGUGGAGAAUUCCCCGACCUAACACUCUUCAUGGAUUGAGUAAUAGAAGGAUUAACAGUUGAUCUUGGAUUUUUUCCAAUAACUACAUUGAAAGGAAAUACUGAAAGUUCUUUUUCGGGUUUGGUGAAAACGACUUUUUCCCUAACAUGUCAUUAUUAGGUUGUUCUUAUUGGUGGGGUUGGGUUGGAUUUGGUGGUUGUUGUUGUGGAUGAUAGGGUUGGGGUGAUGGGGUUGCAAUUGGGGAUAUUACCAUUGUUGCAUGGCCAUGUUGAGGUGUAGGUUGUUGUUGAAAUGUACAUGGAUGAUAUAGUGGUGGUGAUUUUUUUAAAUCUUUAUGAUAGAAAAAAAUUAUACUAUAUCAAUGUAUCUUCAACCGAAGAACUUUAUUUAAAUGAAAGGAAAAAAUGUUUUAAAAUAUUAUGAUCAUAUUAAUGAGUUUAUAUUAAAGUUGGCAUUUGACCAUAAUUUCAAAUAAGAUUUAAAAAAUCUAUCUUUAAGCAAGCUUUUAAUUUCUUUUUAGGAUAAAUCAUUAUCUAUUAACUUUUUAAAUUAACAUGUUUAGAUCAAUCUCAAACAACAUUACUUGUAUGGGUUUAUUUACAUUUGGACUUCAAAAUGUUCAAAGUGAAAUAUCUUAAACCAUAUAUAUUGAAUUAAAUUUUACAUAUUUUUUUAAAUGAGGUGUUAACCAAAUUUUUUCGUCAGUAACAUUUGGACUUCAUAGCAGUCAAAAUGAAAUAUCUUUAACAAUAUAUUUGAAACAAAUUUAUAAAUUUUUAUUCUAAUGUGGUGUUAGUCUUUCACUCCCCGAAACUACAUCUUGGAUGUAACACAAUACCUAGAACCAUGACUGGCCUAAGCUAAUCCUUUACUUGGCAUGAAAUAUGAAAUCUAAACUAAAAAUUAAUGUGGAAGAUGAGGCAUGAGUUACACUUUUUUAAAUAAAAAUAAGAGCAGUCUGGUGUACUAAAGUUAUUGCUAUGCGUGGAGUUCGGGGAAGAGCCCAACAAUAAGGGUGUAUUAUAUGCAUCCUUACCUUGUAUUUAUGUCAAAGGUUGUUUCCAAGGCUUGAACCUGUGACCUCCUGAUCACAUAGCAACAACUUUCCCAGUUACUCCAAGGCUCCCUUUCACUUUUAUAAAUAAAUAAUAAAAUAAUACCAUGACUGAGAAAUAAAUUAUUUAAAGUCUGGGUACUACUAUCUAACUAGCUAUGAAGCCUCUACUAAUAUCGGCUAGUCAUUGGAAUAAGCCCCCAAACUAACUUUAAACAACUAAAAGUGACUAAAAUAGAAUGUGAACUCUCAAUAAGUUUCCCUCGAAGGAUAAGGACUCACCAACAACUAACUAAAAUCUUCUUCUACUUGCUAACCAAGAAACUACAAGAAAUACCUAGAUCUACAUCAUGUAACAGUGUAGGCACCAGAAGUAGUAGUCAGUACUUUGAUGUACUGGAUAAAGCAGUAAAGUAAAAUAAUUUUAAUAUAUGAGACUAAUAAGGCUGGAAAUAAUGAAAUGAAUAAUAUAAUCAUAAAUAGAGUUGAAUAACUUAAAAUAGGAAUUACUAACUUCAAGACUGAAACUCAAUGUAAAAUAAGUCAAAUCUUCUGAAAACAUGUUGAUAAAACAAAAACUAAAUGACUAAAAUUUAAACGUAACUUAAAAAUAAUGCUAUAUUAAAAAAUUUCUUAAAACUGGUGGCCUCGGCCAAUCAUACAUUAUCUUAAAAUAAAUAAGUUUUUAUUUUGGGAAGUUUCUCUUAACCAACAUAAACCAUGUGAGUAACAUAAUGUCCGGUAUCAUGCCCACAUUGUGAAGAACCAUCCUACACCUUUUCUGGGUGUAAAACAAAAUGUGGCAUAUGAAUUUGGGUGUAAGACGAAAUGUAACUUAUGAAUCCAACUCAUAUCCCAAAGGAAAAAUUAUGGUGACAAUGUUGUUAUGGGGCCUGUGACCUCAGACUCAUGCCCAACUCAGUUCUAAGUUAACCUUCAAAAAUAUACUAGUUUCUUAUAAUGUAAUCUUAAAAAUAUUUUCCAAAAAUCAUGCUUGACUUAAAAUAUCAUAUCAAGAGAGAGAGAGAGUAUGUGAGUGUAUAUAUGACCCUUAGAUAUUAUUUUCAGAAGUAAUGCCAAACUACAAGUGGUAACAAGCCCUAAUAACGAUGUUUGUCACAUGUAAUGAGUCGUCAGGAAGACUCAUUGUCAAGGUAGUAGGGUUUUCCAGGUUUAGGCCCCUUGACAAUGAGUUGGGGGUAUGACCCGUUAUGAGACAUAAUGAGUCAUUAGGAAGGACAUGUUGUCACAACAAAAAGAUUCCCCAUUGUUUAGUCCCUGAUCACGAGUCUCUGUCAGGAUUUGUGAUUUCAAAUAAUAAGUCUUUAUGAGUGACUCAUUGUCAUAACAGUGAGGUACAAGAUCGUAAGACCCCAGAAAAUCCUAAUUCAUUUUAGUACUAUAUAGCAUGCCAAAACGGGUCCCAGACUUAGAAAAAUUUCAGCGAAGUGUUAAGACUUAGAAGUAUUUUUAGCCUUCGAAAUUGAAUGAUCUUAUUUUUAAUCUUUCCGACCUUAGAAUGUCAAUUUUCAAGUUGAUUCAUGAUCAGGAAUGUCAAUAAGUUAUAUGGGUGAGUUUCAGAAUUUUUGAAUUUUGUGAGGUUCAUGUUUGAAUGGGCAAAAAAGCAAGCUAAUGCGAUCUUAACGCGUCGUAUUGGCUACCAAGUUGCACCCAUCAAUGUGAUGCGUCAGCAAUUGCAUCGAUCCCAUCAACAAGGCGCAUCACCAAUCUCAUCGGUUGUCAAUUAUUAUGUGUUAAAUUUCGAGUUUCCAAGGGCAUUUAGGUCCUUUUUCACUCACCCAAUUCAGCUAAAACACGAGAUUUAACUCUCAAAAGGGCAAAUUUUAUUUUUUAUUCUCCAAAUCCUCGCAAGAACAAGCCGUAGUUUCAUCAAGCUCAAGAUCAAGUCCUAAGAAUUUUAUCACAAUCUUCACAAAAUUAACAAUCAAUGUAUGUUAGGUAUUCAUCCAAUGAUUUCCUUCCACCCUUGGAGUUCAAGAACCCUUUUUAAAAUUACAAGUUUAUUGAUUCCAGAUUUACAUGUGCAAUUUGGGUUGUAUUCAUGUUUUUUGUUGUUGUACGAGUUUCAAUUCAAGAUGUAAUUAUAAUUUUCAUGAACAUAAGAUAACAUGUAUGUUGAUUGAUGUAAUUUGCAUGUUUCAACCCUUAAAUUUUUAAGGUGUAUGUUGUAGUAUGAUUCCCUAUAUGUUAUUUUUAGGUAUUACAAUCAUGCUCCCCAAGUGUUUGAUAGAAUGGUCAUGUGAAUUGAAUAGUGAAAUCACGACAUGUUAGUAUGUGUUCCCAUUCAUGUAAAAGUUCCUGAUAUCCAAAGGUUUGACUAAAUGCCCCAAUGAAUGAAUUGUGAGCAAUUAACUAUUGCUAUUCUUUCAUGAUUUGUCAUGCUUAAUUAUCAUGCUAUAGAGUCCUGGGGGUAUUUAUUACCCGAAAUGUAGUUUUUUAUUUAGUUGCAAUAGUUAUAAAAUCAUUUCAGUAAUGGUCAAGAAUAGUAGUACCUAGUAAGUUAUUAAAACUUAGUGAACUCGGUCUAGUUCAAUCAGUGAACAUGAUCAGUGUUAGUUCAAUCAAGCUUAGUACAAUCCAGUGUUCAAUGUCUAUUUUGUUGGGAAUAGUAUUCAACACUGAGCAAACCCAGUUAUGCGGGCAUUCCUUCCAGUAGAGAUUUUGACCCUUAGUAGUUAUCCCUACAUUACAGAACUAUGUAGCCAGCGUAGGGUAAGUUUUCCUCCUGCCAGACUAGGGUUGACGCAAUCAUAAAUAUAUAUUUCAUGAGUCUUCCUUCCAGAUUAGGGUUGACACAACAUUGUUAGUAUUUCUUAUCAAGGUGAUAAAACCCAUCCAAUUGGGUUCAUAGGUUGGGCCUCAACUCAGUGUAUAAUUGGGGUAUGUCGGUUAGAUGAACACACCUACAAUUAUGAUUUUAGUCUCAAUAUUUAGCAAAGAACUUAGAUAGUUCUACAGAACUGUGGCUAUAAGUUAUCUAUUACUUAUCCAAUAGAAAUUAGUACUUUAGUAUCAGUCUAAAAUUUUAGUUAUCAGUAUUAAGUUAUCAGAACUCCGUACUUUAGUUUUAGUCUAAUUCAGAUAGACAUUAUAUGCACAGUAUCGAAUGUUCAGUAGUUAGAAUUUUUCUUGUACUCUCAUCCAGUUACUUCAUGAUGUUUAUUCAUUCAGUUAUCAUCUCAUGCAUAUGAAUCCAUGUAUAUUAGCCUACCUUAUCAUACCAGUACACUCUACAUACUGACGCAUAUUAUUUCUUUGAGCUAUGAUGUCUCAUAUCAUAGGUUCGGAAGCUUAGGUUGCUGACCGUACUUAGCAGCUCAGACUAUCAGCAACAGUUAUAAUAGUGAGUCCUCAUACAGCAAGGAUAUUAUUUUAUUUUAGUAGUUCAGUAUCUUAGUUAGUUUAGUAGUCAGAGUUAUUUGGGGACAUGUCCCAUCAACCCCAUGUUCAGACAGUUAGAGGCUUUCAGACUAGCACAAUAAUUUUAUAGUUUUUUAGAUGUUAUUAUCAGUAUAUUUAUUUAUUUAUUAUUUUAGUAUUUUGAUAACCUUAUGGCAUUUCAAUUUUACUUUCGUAUAUAUUUUCAGUAAUAUUAUUCAGUGCUCACAGUAGGUACCAGUCAUGUGUUAGCUUGUGAUCCUUUGGGGUUGCAAGUACCGUGUGACGUCCAGGGUGCAGACUCAGGGCAUUAAAAACUUGGUAUUAGAGCCUAAGGUUCUAAAGAGUCCUAGGGAGUCUCAAAGUCUCAUCAAGUAGAGUCUUGUACAUGGGUGUGUAGCGUGCCACACUUAUGGACAGGAGGCUAUGAAAUAUUUUAGGAAAAGUUUCCCUAAUUUUAGUAUUCAUGUUAUGUAAGUGAGCAUGAGCUUAAGUUAAAAUCUCUGUCUAAUCCAAUUUUCCCUUCCGUUUAUAGAAUAUGCCUCCAAAAGAGACUAACAGAAGAAAAACUGGAAAUCCUGCCAGCAUCAUCUCUGCCUGUUUAGGCAGAUCCCCUGGACGAACAUGUCUGUCAUGCAGAAUUCAGAGCAACUUUCACCAAUCUAGCUCAUUUUGUAGCAUCCCAAAAUAAUUCCUAACUACUGUUCAGGCCCACACAGUGGCCAAUUCUACUGCAACUAGAAUUCAAGACUGCACCAAAAUAAGUCCUUCAUAAUUUUAAGGGUCUAAGUAUGAUGAGGACCCACAGGAAUUCCUUGACAUGGUGCAUAAGGUAAUAGAUAUUAUGGAAGUAGUCUCUAGUGAAAGUGCUUAGUUCGCUGCAUAUAAAUUGUAGGAUGUAGCUCAUACAUGGUUUUAGUAGUGGAAGGCAGAAAGGGACGCAGAUACAGGGCCUAUAAAAUGGGAGGAGUUUCCUACCACCUUUCUAAAUAGGUUCUUUCUAUUGGAGUUGAGGGAAACCAUGGUUUUAGAUUUAAUUAACAUGAUGCAGGGCAGCAUGAAAGUGAAGGAGUAUUCCCUCAAGUUUACCCAAUUAUCCAAAUAUGCUACUCAUAUGGUAGUUGACAGCAGAUCUAAGAUGAGCUAGUUCCUUUCUGAUGUGUUUGAUAGUAUGGUCAAGAAGUAUAGGACCAUAAUGUUGAUUGAGGAGAUGGAUUUGGUUAUGUUGAUGGUCCUUGCUCAACAGAUAGUGGAGUAGAAGACUAAGGAGAAGGAAAGGGAAAGAAAGAGGGCUAGAACAAGUAACUUUAGUUUCGCUCAGCCUAAGUCAGAGGGUGGUAAUCAUCCUUAGUUCUGCCCAAAAUCUUCAGUUCCAUCUCUAUCCUCAGCCAGUGCUCCAGUGCCUAAGUUCAGAAAUGAUAAUAAGGAUAGAGCGCUAGGCUCUAAAUCUCAGGGAAAUGUUAGCAGUGCCCGAACAAAUCCUCUUUGUCAAAAAUAUAGUAGAAACAAUCAGGGUGUCUAUAGAGGUGGCAUGAUGUAUAUUUUUGAUGUGGCAAACCAGACCAUAGGAUCAGAGAGUGUCCUCAGGUGGACUUGCAGAGUCAGCAUAAUCAUCUCCAAACUUAGUCCGGUCACCCAUCUCAGCAGGGUACCAUUUUCAGUGCCACCAGUGGGCAAUGCCCAAACAAGCUCUAUGCACUUCAGUCCCAAUAGGACUAUGAAAGUUCUCCUGAUAUGGUCACUGGUUCGUGACAAGUUUACAAUUCACAUAUUUAUGCUUUGCUAGAUCCAGGAGCUUUUUUAUCCUUUGUAACUCCUUAUAUAGCUGUUGACUUUAGAGUCAGUCUCGAAAUCGUAGCAGAGCCCUUCUCAGUCUCUACCCCAGUGGGUAAGUCUUACAUAGCAUGAUAGAUAUACAGCAAAUAUCCUGUUACAGUGUGUUAGGAAGUAACUUCAGCAGAUUUUGUAGAGUUAGAGAUGAUAGAUUUUGAUGUCAUUCACAGCAUGGAUUGACUCUAUUCAUGCUAUGAUUUACUUAACUGUAGAAACAGAGUUUCUCAUUUCUAGUUCCCAAAUAAACUUGUCCUUGAAUGGAGGGGUAGUACUUCAGUAUUUAAGAGUCAGAUUGUUUCAGACCUUAGAGCAAGAAAAUUGAUGUCCAAGGGGUGUGUCUAUCAUCUCAUUUGAGUUAAAUAUUCUAGUUUUGAGACCCCUAAUCCUGAUUCAAUUCUAGUAGGAAGUGAAUUUCUAGAUGUGUUUCUCGAAGAUCUACUCAAAGUUCCUCCCAAAUGGGAAAUUGACUUCGGAAUAGAUCUUCUUCCAAAUACUUAGCCCAUCUCUAUUCCGCCAUAUAGAAUGGCUCUAGAUAAAAUCAAAAAGCUAAAAGAAAAAUUAAAAUACCUUCAUGAUAAGGGAUUCCCAUAGGGUGCACCAGUUCUAUUUGUGCGAAAGAAAUAUGGUUCUCUUAAAAUAUGUAUUGACUACUAUCAGUUGAAAAAAUUCACAGUCAAGAAUAAGUAUCCGCUUCUUAGAUCAAUAACUUGUUUGAUCAUCUUCACGAGGCCAGUUACUUCUCUAAGAUAGACCUCAAAUCAGGCUAUCAUCAGCUCAGAGUCAAAGAAUGUGACAUUUUAGAAACAACUUUCAAAACUUGGUAUGGUUAUUUUUAAUUUCUAGUCAUGUCAUUUGGUAUUAUCAAUGCCCUAACAACUUUCAUGGACUUGAUGAAUAGAGAGUUCAAGCAGUACUUAGAAAUAUUCAUCAUAGUCUUCAUAGAUGACAUUUUUAUCUACUCCCUCAGUGAACUUGAUAAUGCAGAGCAUCUUAGAAUAGUAUUGCAGACCUUCAUAGCCCAUCAGUGGUUUGCCAAAUUUAGUAAAUGAGAAUUUUGGCUAAGGUCAAUAGCUUUCCAUGGUCAUAUAGUUUUCGGUGGUGGAAUUAGAGUUGAUUCUCAAAGGAUAAAGUAGUGCGAAGCUAGCCCAGACCUAUCUCUUUGUUAUAUAUCAGGAGUUUCAUAUGUUUGUAUGGCUAUUACCAAUGGUUUCUUGAAGGAUUUUCACCUAUCUUAUCCCCUAUGUCCAGAUUGACUUAGAAGAAAGUCAAAUUCCAAUGGUCAGAUUCUUGUGAGAAGAGUUUUCAGGAGUUGAAGAGUCGACUCACUAUAGCCCAUUUCUUACUUUGCCCGACGGUUCAGAUGGGUUUGUCAUUUAUUAUGAUGCUUUCAGAGUUGGUUUGUGUAUGUUUUGAUUCAGAAUGGUAAGGUUGUGGCCUAUGCCUCUAGAUAGUUUAAGCCCAUGAAAACAAUUGUCCCACCCCUAAUCUUGAGAUAGCAGUUGUUGUGUUUGCCUUAAAGAUUUGGAGGCACUAUUUGUAUAUAGUGCAUAUUAGUGUGUUCACAAACCAUAAAAGCUUACAGUAUGUGUUUUCUCAAAAAGACCUGAACUUGUAUCAAAAAAAGUAGUUAGAGUUAUUGAAGGAUUAUGACAUGAGUUUUCUGUAUCAUUUGAGUAAGGCCAAUAUAGUGGAAGAUACCCUCAGUAAGCUGUCCAUGGGUAGUGUUGCUUAUGUUAAGGAUAGUAAGAAGAAGCUAGUUCAGGAAGUUGAUCAGCUUUCCAGACUAUGUGUCCAUUUGGUUGAUUUGGCUAAAGGUAGUGUUUGGGUGCAGAAUAGUUCAGAAUCAUCUUUGGAUUCAAAAGUAAAAUAAAAGUAGGACAGGUAUCCCUAUUUGGUUAAGCUGGAAGAGUCAGUCAAAGACCAGUAGAUAGAGGUUUUCUCCCAAGAGAGAGGUGGUGUGUUGCAUUGCUAGAGUUGAUUAUGUGUUCCAUGUAUGGAUGGAGUAAGACAACGAAUUCUUAUAGAAGUGCAUGGUGUGCUUUAAUCAAUUCGUCCAGGGGCCACAAAGAUAUACCGUAACUUGUGGGAAGUCUAUUGGUUUAGUGGGAUGAAGAGAGACAUUGCAGAGGUUGUAACUAUGUGCUCCACAUAUCAGCAGGUUAAGUUUAAGCAUUAGAAGUCUAUUGGAUCAAUGAAGGACUUUAGUAUUCCCACAUAGAAGUGAAAAGAAGUGAACAUGGACUUUGUGCGAUUCAAUUUAUGUCAUUGUGGAUAGGAUGAUCAAAUCAUCCCAUUUCUUUCCAGUUAUUAACUCUUAUUUAGCCGAAGACUAUGCCAUGCUCUAUAUCAGAGAAUUUUUCUGGUUGCACGGUGUUUUCUUGUCCAUUAUUUAAGAUAGAGGUACCCAAGUCUUCAAAAAGGGUUUUGGUACCCAAGUCAACCUCAGUAGAACCUUUCACCCUCAGACAGAUGGUCAAACAGAAAGAACCAUUCAGACUUUAGAAGAUAUAUUAAGAGCGCGUGUCGUUGACUUUAAGGAUAGUUGGGAUGACUACUUACCUUUGAUUGAGUUUGCGUAUAAUAAUAACUAUCAUUCCAGUGUUUAGAUGGCCCUAUUUGAGGCUCUUUAUAGGAGGAGAUGUCAAUCUCCAUUAGUUUGUUUGAAGUAAAUAAAGCUAUAGCUGUAGGGAUUGACUAGGUGUUUGAUGCCUUAGAUAAAGUGUAGUUAAUCAUUAAGAGGUUUAACUUAGAGCCGAUAGAAAUCGUAUGCAGAUGUGAAAAAAAAAUCUCGAGUUUGAGAUUAGCGAUUUUGUGUAUUUAAAAAUCUCUCCCAUGAAGUGAGUGAAGAGAUUUGGAAAAAAAGGGAAGCUUAGUACCCGAUAUGUUGGUCCUUAUAAGAUUCUCAGUCAUUUUGAUAAGGUAUCUUAUGAUCUUGAGUUGCCUUCAGAAUUAGCAUGAAUGCACCAGUGUUUCACGUCUCUUUACUAAAGAAGUGCAUUAGAGACCCAACAGUUGUAGUCCCUAUAGAGAGUGUAGAUACUCAGAGUAAUUUCUCUUAUGAGGAAAUCCCAGUCGAAAUCCUUGAUCGUCAGAUUCAUAGACUAUGGAACAAAGAAGUUCCUUUUAUUAAAGUUCAUUGGCUAAAUCAAUCCGUUGAAAGAGCUACUUGGGAAUCAGAAGCAAACAUGUGAAUCAAGUAUCCUCACCUCUUCUUCGCAAACUCAAACUCAACCUAAGGUAACAGUUUUCCUUAGAUUUACUCUAUUCCAUGCUCAGUUACAGCUGAAUAACAUUCUCAGAUCAUUUACGCACUCAUGAAAUAGUUCAAUCAUGUGUCAUGUCUCUAUAAUUCAUUCAUGCUUCAGUUAUGCAUGUUAGUGUAAUUAUAGUUCUUCAGUUCCCCUUGGUUCAUUCAGUCUCAUUUGAGGACGAAUGUUCCCAAGGGAGAGAUAUUGUAAGAUCCUGCAAAAUCCUAAUUCAUUUCUGUCCUAUAUAGAUGCCAAAAGGGGUCCCGAACUUAGAAAAAUUUCAACCAAGUGUUAAGACUUAGAAGCAUUUUUAGCCUUUGAAAUUGGAUGAUCUUGUUUUCUAUCUUUCCGAAAAUAGAAUGUCAAUUUUCAAGUUGAUUUAUGAUCAAGGAUGUCAAUAGGUCAUAUUGGGUGAGUUAUAGAAUUUUUGGAUUUUGUUUGGGUCAUGUUUCGAUGGGCAAAACAGCAAGCCAACAUGAUCUUGACGCACCGCAUUGGCUACCGUGUUACACCCAUCGACAUGAUACCUUAGUGAUUGCAUUGAUCUUAUCGACUCAAUGCAUUGCUAAUCGCAUUGCUGGGUAUUUUUUGUUCAUUAAAUUCUUAGUUUGUAAGGGCAUUUAUGUCCUUUUCCCCUCACCUAAUUCAGCUAAAAUAUGAGUUUUAACUCUUAAAAAGGAAAAUUUCAUUCUUUAUUCUCAAAAUCCUCUCAAGAACAAGGCCUAGUUUCAUUAAGCAUAAGAAUAAUUUCACCACAAUCUUCACAAAAUUAAUAAUCAAGGUAUGUUAGGUGUUCAUCCUUGGGUUUCCUUCCACCCUUGGGGUUCAAGAACCUUUUUUAAAAAUACAAGUUUAUUGAUUCAUGAUUUACAUGUGCAAUUUGGGUUGUAUUUAUGUUUAUGUUGUGAUAUGAUUUUCAAUUCAAGAUUUUAUUACAAGUGUCAUAAACAUAAGAUAGAAUAUAUAUUGACUGAUGUAUUUUCCAUGUUACAACCCUUCAAUUUGCAAGUUGCAUGUUGUAUUAUGAUGCCCUAUACGUUAUUUUUCAUGUAUUACAAUCAUGCUUCCCAAGUGUUUUAUAGAAUGUCCAUGUGAAUUGAAUGGUGAAAUCAUACCAUGUUAGUAUGUGCUCCCAUUCAUUCACAAGUUCAUGACCUCCAAAUGUUUGACUAAACGCCCCAAUGAAUGUAUUAUGAACAAUUGACUAUUGCUAUUGUUUUAACAUUUGUCAUUCUUUAUUAUCAUGCUAUCGAGUCUUGGGGGGUAUUUAUUACAAGAAAUCUAGUUGUUUAUUUAGUUGUAGUAGUUGUAGAAUUGUUCUAGUAAAGGUCAAGAACAUUAGUACCCAGUCUGUUAUCAGAACUCAGUAAACUCAGUCCAGUUCCGUUAGUUAACACAAUCAGUGUUAGUUUAAUCAAUCUUAGUACAAUUUAGUGGUCACUGUCUAUUUAGUUGGGAGUAGGAUUCAGCACUGAGCGAACUCAGGGAUGAGUUAAUUCCUGCCAGUAGAGGGUUUGACCUAUAGUAUCUGUCCCUACGUUAUAAAACUACGUAGCCAGCGUAGGGUAAGUUGUCCUUUUGCCAGACUAGGGUUCAUGCAAUUAUAUAUAUAUAUAUAUAUAUAUAUAUCAUGAGUCUUCCUUCCAAAUUAGGGUUGACACAGUAUUGUUAGUAUCCCUUGGCAAGGUCCUAACACCCUUCCAACUGGGGUCACAUGUUGGGCCCCAACUCAGUUUAUAAUUAGGGUAUGUCGGUUAGAUGAACACUCCUACAGUUAAGAUUUUAGUCUCAGCAUUGAAUGAAGAACUCAGACAGUUCUACAGAACUAUGGCAAUCAAUUAUCAGUUACUUAGCCAUCAGAAAUUAGUACUUCAGUAUCAUUCUAAACUUUCAGCUAUUAGUAUUCAGAUAUCAGAACUGAGUACUUCAGUUUUUAUCUAACUUAGAUAGAUAUUAUAUGCGCAGCAUCGUAUAUUCAACAUAAUCUGUAGUUACAGUUUUGCAUGUACUCUGAUCCAGUUAUUUCAUGAUGUUCAUUCAGUUAGUUAUCAUAUUAUGCAUACGAACUCAUGUAUAUCAGCCUACCUCACUUAGCAUACCAGAACAUUUCCCGUACUAAUGCAUACUUUUUUUGCGCUAUGAUGUCUCAUAUCAUAGGUGCAGAUACUCAGGUUCCUGACUGUACUUAGCAACUUAGGCUAUCAACAAUAGUUAUAGUAGUGAGUCCUCAUCCGGCAAGGAUAUUAUUUUAUUACAGCAAUUCAGUAUUUCAGUUAGUUCAGUAGUCGAAGUUAGUUGGGGACUUUUCCCAUCAACUCCAUAUUCAGACAGUUAAAGGCUUUCAUACUAGCACAGUCAGUUUUUAAUUUUAGAUGUUAUUAUAUGUACAUUCAUUUAUUAUUUCUGUAUUUUGAGAAGCUUGUGGCAUUUCAAUUUUACUUCCACAUAUGUUUUAUGUAAUAUUAUUCGGUGCUCACAGCAGGUACCAUUCAUGGGUUAGCUUGUGAUCCUUCAAGAUUUCAAGCAUUGUCUGAUGUCUAUAGUGCAAACUUGGGGUGUUACACAAAUAUUUUAUCCUUGCGUAAUGAAUCAUCGUCAAGCCUCACGAGUUGUUUUCCAAGCCAUGAUGACUCAACUAUGAUUUUCUUGCACAUUUUAGUUAGGUUCCUUUUGGUCUUUUCCUACCUUUACACUUUAUCCCAUGACUUACAACCCUCAAAUAGACUUUUUUUCCUUGGGUAUCAAGAUCAAAACCUCACUUUUCUUGUAUUUAACUCCAAAAGCAAGAGAUAUUAGUGUUCCACAAGAAUUUAAAAUUUUAGGCUCCAAACUUUAGAUUUCUAUUGGUUUCUUGUAUAUUUCAGAUAUGUCUCUCAUUCCUAAAGUUGUAUUUCUCAUCAUGGCAUAAAUAUAUUCAAUAUUCAUAUAAUUUAAAUUAUUGGGUUUGAACUUGGGUUAAGGAAUUUUAAUGUUGGUUGC
rnacentral:lncRNA from 1 species